rnacentral:rRNA from 1 species
UUUGAAAAUAAUUUAAAGUCUAAUCUGCCCACUGAUAAUUUAUUAAAGGGCUGCAGUAUUUUGACUGUACAAAGGUAGCAUAAUCAAUAGUCUCUUAAUUAGUGACUUGUAUGAAAGAUUGGAUGAAAUAUAUUCUGUCUCUAAUUAAUUUAUAGAAAUUAAUUUUUUAGUAAAAAAGCUAAAAUAAUUUUAAAAGACGAGAAGACCCUAUAGAGUUUAAUAAUUUAUUUAAUUAUUAUUAAUAUAUAUAAUUUUUAAAAUUAAAAUUAAAUAAAUUAUUUUGUUGGGGUGAUAGAAAAAUUAAAUUAACUUUUUUUAUUUAUUAACAUUAAUUUAUGAUUAGAUGAUCCAUUAAUAAUGAUUAAAAGAAAAAAUUACCUUAGGGAUAACAGCGUAAUUUUUUUUUUUAGUUCAAAUAGGAAAAAAAGUUUGCGACCUCGAUGUUGGAUUAAGAUAAAAUUUAAAUGCAAAAGUUUAAAAUUUUGAUCUGUUCGAUCAUUAAAAUCUUACAUGAUCUG